rnacentral:misc_RNA from 1 species
AACGCACAUUGCGCCCCACGGUAUUCCGCGGGGCAUGCCUGUUCGAGCGUCAUCAACACCGCUCAGGCCGGGGUUCCUUCAACAAAGAAACCAUCGGCUUGGUCUUGGGCCGGAGGGAACGAACACCCUCCGCCUGCAAUCCAGUGGCAAACAUCCGGCGUGGCAAGAGCGUGAUAAACGUGUCAAAAUCGCUAUUGACGACCGGAAUGUUUGGCCGUAACCCCCACAUUUGUAUUUUUCCAGUUUGACCUCGGAUCAGGUAGGGAUACCCGCUGAACUUAA